AUUGAACGCUGGCGGCAGGCCUAACACAUGCAAGUCGAGCGGAGCGGCGGACGGGUGAGUAAUGCCUAGGAAUCUGACUGGUCGUGGGGGAUGACGUCAGGAAACGGGCGCUAAUACCGCAUCCUAUCAGAUGAGCCUAGGUCGGAUUAGCUCGUUGGUGGGGUAAAGGCUUACCAAGGCGACGAUCCGUAACUGGUCUGAGAGGAUGAUCAGUCACACUGGAACUGAGACACGGUCCAGACUCCUACGGGAGGCAGCAGUGGGGAAUAUUGGACAAUGGGCGAAAGCCUGAUCCAGCCAUGCCGCGUGUGUGAAGAAGGUCUUCGGAUUGUAAAGCACUUUAAGUUGGGAGGCGUUACCAAAAGAAUAAGCACCGGCUAACUACGUGCCAGCAGCCGCGGUAAUUC
rnacentral:rRNA from 1 species